GGGCGGAUAGCUCAGUUGGUAGAGCAACGGACUGAAAAUCCGUGUGUCGCCGGUUCAACUCCGGCUCCGCCCA
rnacentral:tRNA from 1 species